ACCUCCUGCUGGUUCCACCUCCUCUCCUCUUCUCCCUGUGCUGUCAUCUAUUGGAUCAGUGUGUGUUGUUGUUCUACUGGUGUUACUGGUUCUGUUAGUGAGGCAGCAUGGUUGCUGGAAAUGUGAAGAUCAAGCAGCAAAAGAUGACAUCACAUACAGUGACAUCAAAAUAACACAUCGUCAACGACAACCAGGCAUAGAAAAAAAAGAGAGCGAUCCAGCUGCAAUCUACUCAGAAGUGAGAUCAGACGCCUGUUAUGCACCAAAAACCACCAGAUCACAGAGGCCCAGAGACUUUAAACCGGACCAAGACGUCGUCUACUCUUACCUGAAGUAGUCCACCAGUCCAACCAGUGACGUCCAGCUGCUGCUCCCCCAGCACCUCAGAGACCAUCCACGUGUUAACAAGAUUUUUAUAUUUGUGUUUUUUUUCUUGCUGAACUAGACUCCAGACAAAAAUCACAUCCUAUUCUGGAGUUUUAAAAGAAUUUUUGUUGCAAAUUCAACAAUGAAAACAUUUGUUAAUAUGAUUCAUGUCGUCAGUAACUGUUAUUCAUAGUUUAUUCACGUUUCUGGGCCUCUGCAGUGGUGAGUUAUUCUCCCCCCAGCUUUGAUAAACUUUGGUUCUCAUGUUUUUCUCACGUGGGCUUAAAAAAAUAAGUCAAAUGGAAAAUUUGACUUGUCUGGUUGUGAUUCACUGAUGCACGCCUCCCUUCAAACAACAAAGGAGAACGAACAACCGCAGGCUAAAAACAGCAGAGGCCUCAGCCAGUGGCUGAAAACUGCACAGAAAAGUGCAGGAUGUGUGUGUUUGACACCCACAAGUUCUAUUUUAUGAUUUUAUUCCAGGCUGAAACCAACCAGCAGCUGACGUGGCAAAAACGGUUUAUGUUUAAUUCACUGUUUACAGUUUCUAAAGAAAAACACUGGAAUUUCUCUGGCAGCAGCUUCUGAUUAACUAAAAACUCAUCAACAUGUGACUCUGACUGGACUUCCUUCUGCAUCAUAUUUCCUGAAGCAGAGGCCUUCCUGUUUAACCUCUCAGUGAAACUUUAAAUGUGAUUUGUGUCCAUUUCAAGGCUGUUUCCCUCUACUGGUCAACCCGGGUAUUACAGCAGAGCAGCUGCAUUGUGGAUGACAACAGUUCAAAACCACAAACUGGUGUGGGCGGCUGUUUAGUGCAUUUAUUUAUCUAUGCAUCAAUAUUAUCUGAACACAUUUUAACAACAAAUUAUAUUAUUUUUGCUUUGCACUGUUAUUUAUAACAAAAAAUGCACAUUUACCAGUUUUGAAUCUGUUCU